AGGUGAUCCACCUGCCUCGGCCUCCCAGUGUUGGGAUUAUGGGUGUGGGCCACCAUGCCCGGCCUCACUCUCCUGAUUUUAAGGACACAGUCCACAGCUAUGUUGUUGAGGUUAACCAGGAUAAAGACAGGGUGACUAAGGGCGUGGGCUCUGGAUUUCAAGAGCCCUCCUCCUCCACCUACUUUCUAGGUGACCUUGAGCAAAUUAUUCAGUUGCUAUGUGCUUGGAUUUCUUACCUGUAUGAUGCAGUUAAUGGUCGUCCUACCUCACAGGAUUAUUUUGGGGAUUAAAACUCAGACGGGCAGGUGAGAAGUCCAACUUCCCUGCUGGGAAACCACACAGUAGACCUGAGACUCCAUGGAGAGGAAGAGGCGCCCACCUGAGCCCAGCCUUCCAGCCGUCCCUGCCAUGGUGCCAGGCAUACGAGUGAAGCUGUCUGACCCACCUCCCCUGUGACCUGACCCAGCCACUAGCCAAACACCAUGAAGUAACACCAGUCAAUGUCAUGCGGUGCAGAAGAAUUGCUCAAGCUGUUGUGGACAUGUGCCUGCACACACUGGGUCUGCAGUGUCAGAGGAGCAGUGCCGCUGGGUCAUCUGUCAGUGUUCUGAGCAACUGGACUAGGAGCUCUGGUGGAGGUGGGAGCAGAGAAGGUAGGUGGGUGUUUAAAUUUACCAGGACAACGCUGGGUAACUGACAAAAUAUUGACUGUCGUCCUUCCGUACCCUCCUCCUGCUCCUCUGUAGCAAUCCUUCCAGGGUCUCUGAGAAGAGCCCGUUCCUCACUUAGGACACCUCCUUUUAGGACUAGCUUCUUCUGGCCUUGCAUUUCCCCAAUCACUCUGAAUCGCUCCCACUUCAUGUUAAGAGGUCCCAGCUGUGUCCACCUGGGACUGAGUUCCAAGACAC